UCUGUGUGCCCCCCGAGGAGCGUCCCUGCAGGGGGCGGGCGGCCUCCUGAGGGAAUGGCCCUCGCUCCUGGCUGGUUUCCAAGGCACUCAGGCCAGAGCCACAGCGUCUCUACUCCCACUGUUCCACGAUGUUGAAUUUCCUUGGCAACAAGCUCUGGUUAGCCUACGUUCCCGAGCAUCACAUCUUUGAAGGCUGUGGGCCUGGGCCUGAACUGCCUUGUUCACCACCAUAUGCUCGGUGUCUGGGACAUUGAGGGGGAUCAACAGCAUUUACUGAAUGAAGAAGAACAUUUGUUCAUAAGCUAACAAAACUCAAAUGGAGGAGGAAAAAGUAAUCAUUGCUACCGUCCUUUGAAAACAGAGAUGUUUGUUUUCUGGGUGGGCUUGGAACCUAGCCAAGACAGUGUGAAACUUCCUGGAAUUUCAACACACCUGCUGGCGUCCUGGACUGAGUGAGCUGGCCUGCAGGUGAACUUGAUCUGCCUACCAAGAGUGAUCCAAGGCCUCGUCCAUCCUUCCAAGCCCCUCCCCCAAAGCCCUGAGUGUCUGGGAGCA